rnacentral:rRNA from 1 species
AUUGAACGCUGGCGGCAUGCCUUACACAUGCAAGUCGAACGGCAGCGCGGACUUCGGUCUGGCGGCGAGUGGCGAACGGGUGAGUAAUACAUCGGAACGUACCCUGUUGUGGGGGAUAACUAGUCGAAAGAUUAGCUAAUACCGCAUACGACCUGAGGGUGAAAGCGGGGGACCGAAAGGCCUCGCGCAGCAGGAGCGGCCGAUGUCUGAUUAGCUAGUUGGUGGGGUAAAGGCCCACCAAGGCGACGAUCAGUAGCUGGUCUGAGAGGACGAUCAG